CGGAUUGUAGGCUGAAACUCGCCUACAUGAAGCUGGAGUUACUAGUAAUCGCAGAUCAGAAUGCUGCGGUGAAUGCGUUCCCGGGUCUUGUACACACCGCCCGUCACACCACGGGAGUUGGAGACGCCCGAAGCCGAUUAUCUAACCUUUUGGAAGAAGUCGUCGAAGGUGGAAUCAAUAACUGGGGUGAAGUCGUAACAAGGUAGCCGUAUCGGAAGGUGCGGCUGGAUC
rnacentral:rRNA from 1 species